GCGGAGGGAUCAUUACUGAGUGAGGGCCUUCGGGCUCGACCUCCAACCCUUUGUGAACACAACUUGUUGCUUCGGGGGCGACCCUGCCGUUUCGACGGCGAGCGCCCCCGGAGGCCUUCAAACACUGCAUCUUUGCGUCGGAGUUUAAGUAAAUUAAACAAAACUUUCAACAACGGAUCUCUUGGUUCUGGCAUCGAUGAAGAACGCAGCGAAAUGCGAUAAGUAAUGUGAAUUGCAGAAUUCAGUGAAUCAUCGAAUCUUUGAACGCACAUUGCGCCCCUUGGUAUUCCGAGGGGCAUGCCUGUUCGAGCGUCAUUGCACCACUCAAGCCUGGCUUGGUAUUGGGCGCCGCGGUCAAUCCGCGCGCCUCAAAGUCUCCGGCUGAGCUGUCCGUCUCUAAGCGUUGUGAUUUCAUUAAUCGCUUCGGAGUGCGGGCGGCCGCGGCCGUUAAAUCUUUCACAAGGUUGACCUCGGAUCAGGUAGGGAUACCCGCUG
rnacentral:rRNA from 1 species